GACGAACGCUGGCGGCGUGCUUAACACAUGCAAGUCGAACGGGGUCCAAGCAGUAGCAAUACUGUGGAAGGCCUAGUGGCGAACGGGUGAGUGACGCGUAUGCAACCUACCUUUAACAGGGGGAAUAGCCCCGAGAAAUCGGGAUUAAUACUCCGUAACAUUGCGGGAUGGCAUCAUUCUGCAAUUAAAGAUUUAUCGGUUAAAGAUGGGCAUGCGUGACAUUAGCUUGUUGGUGAGGUAACGGCUCACCAAGGCAACGAUGGUCUAGGGGUCCUGAGAGGGUUAUCCCCCACACUGGUACUGAGACACGGACCAGACUCCUACGGGAGGCAGCAGUAAGGAAUAUUGGUCAAAUGGGCGCAAGCCUGAACCAGCCAUGCCGCGUGCAGGAAGACGGCCCUAUGGGUUGUAAACUGCUUUUGUCAGGGAAUAAACCUGUCUACGUGUAGACAGCUGAAGGUACCUGAAGAAUAAGCAUCGGCUAAACUCCGUGCCAGCAGCCGCGGU
rnacentral:rRNA from 1 species